rnacentral:tRNA from 1 species
GGAAGGGCGAGCUAACUUCCGAAUCCUAAAACUUCCACUAAGCAUGUAGAUGCUUAGAAGUAGCACCUUCGGACGCGGGUUCGAUUCCCGCCGCCUCCACCA